UACGUAGGGCGCAAGCGUUGUCCGGAAUUAUUGGGCGUAAAGAGCUCGUAGGCGGUUUGUCGCGUCUGCUGUGAAAACGCGAGGCUUAACCUCGCGCCUGCAGUGGGUACGGGCAGACUAGAGUGCGGUAGGGGAGACUGGAAUUCCUGGUGUAGCGGUGGAAUGCGCAGAUAUCAGGAGGAACACCGGUGGCGAAGGCGGGUCUCUGGGCCGAUACUGACGCUGAGAAGCGAAAGCGUGGGGAGCGAACAGG
rnacentral:rRNA from 1 species